rnacentral:rRNA from 1 species
CAAAGAUUUAUCGCUGAAAGAUGGGCUCGCGCCCGAUUAGGUAGUUGGUGAGAUAAUAGCCCACCAAGCCGACGAUCGGUAGCCGGACUGGGAGGUUGAACGGCCACAUUGGGACUGAGACACGGCCCAGACUCCUACGGGAGGCAGCAGUGGGGGAUAUUGCACAAUGGGGGGAACCCUGAUGCAGCGACGCCGCGUGAGGGAAGACGGUUUUCGGAUUGUAAACCUCUGUCUUUAGGGACGAAACAAAUGACGGUACCUAAAGAGGAAGCCACGGCUAACUACGUGCCAGCAGCCGCGGUAAUACGUAGGUGGCAAGCGUUGUCCGGAAUUACUGGGUGUAAAGGGAGCGUAGGCGGGAAUGCAAGUUGAAUGUUUAAACUAUGGGCUCAACCCAUAGUCGCGUUCAAAACUGCAUUUCUUGAGUGGAGUAGAGGCAGGCGGAAUUCCUAGUGUAGCGGUGAAAUGCGUAGAUAUUAGGAGGAACACCAGUGGCGAAGGCGGCCUGCUGGGCUCUAACUGACGCUGAGGCUCGAAAGCGUGGGUAGCAAACAGGAUUAGAUACCCUGGUAGUCCACGCCGUAAACGA